ACUCCUGCGGGAGGCAGCAGUGGGGAAUAUUGGACAAUGGGCGCAAGCCUGAUCCAGCCAUGCCGCGUGAGUGAUGAAGGCCCUAGGGUUGUAAAGCUCUUUCACCGGUGAAGAUAAUGACGGUAACCGGAGAAGAAGCCCCGGCUAACUUCGUGCCAGCAGCCGCGGUAAUACGAAGGGGGCUAGCGUUGUUCGGAUUUACUGGGCGUAAAGCGCACGUAGGCGGACUAUUAAGUCAGGGGUGAAAUCCCGGGGCUCAACCCCGGAACUGCCUUUGAUACUGGUAGUCUUGAGUUCGAGAGAGGUGAGUGGAAUUCCGAGUGUAGAGGUGAGAUUCGUAGAUAUUCGGAGGAACACCAGUGGCGAAGGCGGCUCACUGGCUCGAUACUGACGCUGAGGUGCGAAAGCGUGGGGAGCAAACAGGAUUAGAUACCCCUGUAGUCCCAU
rnacentral:rRNA from 1 species